rnacentral:lncRNA from 1 species
AGCAGCUGUUAUUGUGCAGCUUCAACAAGAUAUUUCAAUUCUGGCCUAUCUGGUGCUCCCUUGCUCUGACACCCAUCCACAUCCCCACGGCUCUGACUGCAGAACUGGGGAGAACAGCAUCAGAGACCUUGGAUUUUCAGAGAUGGGGAACCAGCAGCAGACACUGCUCUGAGCGACAGUUACUGACCUGGUGAAGGAAUGGCCUUAUUCUUUCUAUCUGCGAGCUUCGGAGCACGACGCUGUCACUAAAACAUUUGUCCUCCCCAGAUCCUUCCUAGCAAGACACGUCGUGUAUACACAGCACAGUUUGUGUGGAUUCCCAAGCAAGUCACGGGUGGUGCUCGGGCCGCUGCCUUUGUGUCGCCUCACGUUCCCUGUAACACCACGGACCCUCCCAAGGUCCGUCAGUCCCGGUUCGCCCCGCCGCCCCCCGGGGAUGCUGCCCGUGACCGGGUGACAACAGCGGCCUGGGGGCACCGAACGGCUCCGGUUCUGCUGAGGAACCGCCCCGUGCUGCAGCUCCCAUCUCAUCAUCUCAUCAUCUCAUCCCAUCCCCAUCUCACCUGGUCUGGGAUCCAGCCCAAGGUGCCCGUUUCCCUCUCGGACACACACGGUUCCAUCCCUCACCUGCCGCAGCCACGUGCAGCGCCACACCCGGAAGUAGAACGGCCCCACUUCCGCCGUCCCGCCCCUUGGGGUGGCGUUGCCGUUGCCGUGGCGACGCGGUGCGACAUGGCGGCGGACGGGCCGGGCACGUGGCAGCGGCUGUGCGCAGAGUGUGAAGCAGAACAGCGUCUGUUUCCAGACAUUCCUGAAUCGAUGUGGGAAUCUGUGAGUUUGGACACAGGAAUGUUGCAGCCAUUGUAUACAGAACAAUUUUACCCAUCCCCUGCAGCUGAUGCAGUUGUCCAACAGUUGCUUCCCAUACCCAACGCAGACCCCCUUCCACAAGCGCCUGAUCCAAAAACAUGUUCUUCUCAAGAAUAUUUAGAGUACUACAUAUUUCCAGUCCUCUUACCCGGAAUGAUUGAACUUCUGCAUCAAGCAAAGAAGGAAAAGUGCUUUGAGGUUAGUUCUUAG